rnacentral:rRNA from 1 species
CUACGAGUGGGUGCUGUGCCACAGGGAAGCCGCUAAACGAGCCGCCUGGGAAGUACGUCCGCAAGGAUGAAACUUAAAGGAAUUGGCGGGGGAGCACUACAACCGGAGGAGCCUGCGGUUUAAUUGGACUCAACGCCGGAAAUCUCACCAGCCCCGACAUCAGUAAUGACGGUCAUGUUGACGACAUCUGCCCGAGCUGAUGAGAGGAGGUGCAUGGCCGCCGUCAGCUCGUACCGUGAGGCAUCCUGUUAAGUCAGGCAACGAGCGAGAUCCACAUCCCUAAUUGCCAGCACCAUCGCCAGAUGGGUGGGUACAUUAGGGAGACUGCCGCUGCUAAAGUGGAGGAAGGAAUGGGCAACGGUAGGUCAGUAUGCCCCGAAUGGGCUGGGCAACACGCGGGCUACAAUGGGCAGGACAAUGGGUUCCGACACCGAGAGGUGGAGGUAAUCUCAGAAACCUGCUCGUAGUUCGGAUUGCGGACUGAAACUCGUCCGCAUGAAGCUGGAUUCGGUAGUAAUCGCGUGUCAGCAGCGCGCGGUGAAUACGUCCCUGCUCCUUGCACACACCGCCCGUCAAAGCACCCGAGUGAGGUCCGGAUGAGGCCACAUUUCGUGGUCGAAUCUGGGCUUCGCAAGGGGGCUUAAGUCGUAACAAGGUAGCCGUAGGGGAAUCUGCGGCUG